rnacentral:sRNA from 1 species
CAGUGGAUUGGACGGGAAGCAAUGGUUAUUAACUGAAAGGUAUUCUUCAAUUGUAAAUAGUAAUAUAUUCGACUGCCUCAACCCUCCCACGGGCAUCAGACGGUCUCCGCGCCUUUCUCCGCAGCUUCAUCGCCCACCCAGCCAUCUCCGGGUUGAUAGGGUCUAUCCUCGGCGCACUCAUUCCAUCAAUAUAGUCUUCGGGAGUAAUUGCAGACUGCAGCAGCGAGGGCUCAUCCAGCGAUUGAUUGAACAUAUAUUCCUCAUACUUAUCCCAAGAAUCUUGAUCCUACAUAUAGUUAGUAAAUUUGAGUUUUCGUUAAAGAUAGCCUGGAGGAGUGUUUCAAUUUUCCCAUACAUUCUCAUCGACCCAUGUGUAUUUCUCCCAUUUCUCCUCAUGCAUGCGCCUCAGAAGCCCGUUAUUGCUCGCAAUAUUACCCGUUUCAGCCUCCGCAGAUUUGACCUUCAUAUCGAUCGCGCGGGCCUCAGUUUGCGCGGCGCGAGACCCGCCCUCUUCGUCAGCGUCGCGUUUGCCUUUCGCUAUGGUUUUGUUCCGUGCGGAUACCUCGUCAAAUGCGUCCAGGUGGUGGAGUUGGGAACGGAGCUGGACGACCGCAGACAAAGGAGCCAAGUGCAGUUCAUCUAAAAAAAAAAAAAAAAGAAGAGCAAAAGAAAAACCACCGCUAUGUUAGCAUAUAGGUAGAAUAGCCCAAGUCGGAAAAUGGAACUAAGGGAUCGCACAUACUCUCCCUAAAGGCCCCCAACAUAUAAACCGGGUCCCCAUCAACAGGCUCCUUAAUCCUCCCCCCGAGCGUCUGCGUCGUCAUGAUGACCCCGGCCUUCUCAUCUUCAUAAUCCAGCAUAUCCUCCUCAUCCCCCGCAAAAAUCUGCUGUCUCCUCCUUCUUCCCGUCGUAAUCUCAUCCUCUCCAUCCUCAACACCCACAACGCCAGCACCAGCACCAGCACCAGCACCAGCACCAACAGCCAACCCCUUAGCCCUCGUCCCGGGAUUAAACCCACCCGCCAUCCCCAUCGUGCCCCCUUCAGCAAUGACCCUACUCUUCCUCAGCGCAUUGCCGUAUCUACGCCCCUUCUUCUCAUCGUAGUUGACAUGCGUGUUGAUCGGUAUAUCGACUUCCACGAGGCCGGUACGCGGUUUCAGACGGAGCUCUGUAGGUUUCUGGUGGGUCGCGGCGUUGUAGGGCUGUGUGGCCUGGCGGUCUGGGUAUUGGAGGAGGAAGCGCCGUAUUUGAGAAUCGGUUAUGUAGAUAUCGUAGGAGGCUAUUACGGGGUCGUCGGCUGUGGGGGGAGGGGUUGUUGUGUUUGUAG